rnacentral:misc_RNA from 1 species
GAUGAAGAACGUAGCGAAAUGCGAUAAGUAAUGUGAAUUGCAGAAUUCAGUGAAUCAUCGAAUCUUUGAACGCAUAUUGCGCUCUUUGGUAUUCCGAAGAGCAUGCUUGUUUGAGUAUCAGUAAACACCUCAAAGCUUUUGGAUUUUUUAAUCGAAAAGCUUUGGACUUGAGCAAUCCCAACACCAAUCUUUUUGAGAUCGGUGGCGGGUUGCUUGAAAUGCAGGUGCAGCUGGACAUUCUCCUGAGCUAAAAGCAUAUUCAUUUAGUCCCGUCAAACGGAUUAUUACUUUUGCUGCAGCUAACAUAAAGGGAGUUUGACCGUAUUGGCUGACUGAUGCAGGAUUUCACAAGGGUCGGCAACGAUUCUUGUUAAACUCGAUCUCAAAUCAAGUAAGACUACCCGCUGAACUUAAGCAUAUCAAUAAGCGGAGGA